UACGUAGGGUGCGAGCGUUGUCCGGAAUUAUUGGGCGUAAAGAGCUUGUAGGCGGUUUGUCGCGUCUGCUGUGAAAAUCCGGGGCUCAACCCCGGACUUGCAGUGGGUACGGGCAGACUAGAGUGUGGUAGGGGAGACUGGAAUUCCUGGUGUAGCGGUGGAAUGCGCAGAUAUCAGGAGGAACACCGAUGGCGAAGGCAGGUCUCUGGGCCACUACUGACGCUGAGGCGCGAAAGCGUGGGGAGCAAACGGG
rnacentral:rRNA from 1 species